rnacentral:sRNA from 1 species
AUAUGUGAGGGCGAUCUGGCUAAGACAUCUGUCACAUCACUGAUCGCCAGGGUUGAUUCAGCUUAUCUGGCUGGCCGGAUCCACUUCCUCCCUCACCGCUAGAGGUACUUCCCUCCCUAAGCUGUGAUCUCAGAACGACCUUACCUGAUAGAGGAGGACUGUUCCUCAGCCAAAAGUAUAUCUGUGCUCCCUUGCUAGAACCUCCAAACAAACUCUCCAUUUUACUUAGCUCCUUAACAUGACUCACUUUACUCCCUUGAUAUUACUUAGAGGUCAAAAG